rnacentral:rRNA from 1 species
UACGGAGGGUGCAAGCGUUAAUCGGAAUUACUGGGCGUAAAGCGCACGCAGGCGGUCUGUCAAGUCGGAUGUGAAAUCCCCGGGCUCAACCUGGGAACUGCAUUCGAAACUGGCAGGCUAGAGUCUUGUAGAGGGGGGUAGAAUUCCAGGUGUAGCGGUGAAAUGCGUAGAGAUCUGGAGGAAUACCGGUGGCGAAGGCGGCCCCCUGGACAAGGACUGACGCUCAGGUGCGAAAGCGUGGGGAGCAAACAGG